UUGGGCGACUCUAAAGAGACUGCCGGUGUCAAACCGGAGGAAGGUGGGGAUGACGUCAAGUCCUCAUGGCCUUUAUGACCAGGGCUACACACGUACUACAAUGGCAGGUACAAAGGGCAGCCACUUAGCGAUAAGGCGCGAAUCCCGUAAAACCUGUCUCAGUCCGGAUUGGAGUCUGCAACUCGACUCCAUGAAGUUGGAAUCGCUAGUAAUCGCAGAUCAGCACGCUCGCGGUUCCGAAUACGUUCCGGGCCUU
rnacentral:rRNA from 1 species